AUUGAACGCUGGCGGCAGGCCUAACACAUGCAAGUCGAGCGAGCGGCGGACGGGUGAGUAAUGUAUGGGGAUCUGCCUGAUGGAGGGGGAUAACUACUGGAAACGGUAGCUAAUACCGCAUACCAUCAGAUGAACCCAUAUGGGAUCAGCUUGUAGGGGAGGUAACGGCUCACCUAGGCGACGAUCGCUAGCUGGUUUGAGAGGAUGAACAUCCACACUGGGACUGAGACACGGCCCAGACUCCUCCGUGAGGCAGCAGUGGGAAAUAUUGCACAAUGGCCGAAAGCCUGAUGCAGCCAUGCCGCGUGUAUGAAGAGGGCCUUCGGGUUGUAAAGUACUUUCAGUCGGGAGGCGUUACCGACAGAAGAAGCAACGGCUAACUCCGUGCCAGCAGCCGCGGUAAUUC
rnacentral:rRNA from 1 species